UGUAAAGGUAUAGCAGCUGGGACUGUAAAGGUAUAGCAGCUGGGACUGUAAAGGUAUAGCAGCUGGGACUGUAAAGGUAUAUCAGCUGGGACUGUAAAGGUACAUCAGCUGGGACUGUAAAGGUAUAGCAGCUGGGACUGUAAAGGUAUAUCAGCUGGGACUGUAAAGGUAUAUCAGCUGGGACUGUAAAGGUAUAGCAGCUGGGACUGUAAUGGUAUAGCAGCUGGGUCUGUAAAGGUAUAGCAGCUG